rnacentral:rRNA from 1 species
GACGAACGCUGGCGGCGUGCUUAACACAUGCAAGUCGAACGGAAAGGCCCCUUUGGGGGUCCUCGAGUGGCGCACGGGUGAGUAACACGUGCGUAACCUGCCCUUGCCUUCGGGAUAACUUCAGGAAACUGGGGCUAAUACCGGAUAGGAAUCCUUGCUGCAUGGGGGGGGUUGGAAAGCUUCGGCGGUUUUGGAUGGACUCGCGGCUUAUCAGCUUGUUGGUGGGGUAGUGGCUUACCAAGGCGUUGACGGGUAGCCGGCCUGAGAGGGCGACCGGCCACAUUGGGACUGAGAGGCGGCACAGACUGCUACGGGAGGCAGAAGUGGGGAAUAUUGAACAAUGGGCGGAAGCCUGAUGCAGCAACGCCGCGUGCGGGAUGACGGCCUUAGGGUUGUAAAACGCAUUCAUAAGGGGCGAAGCUUGUGGUGACGGUACCUGCAGAAGAAGCACCGGCUAACUACGUG